UGGGGGAUAUUGCACAAUGGGCGAAAGCCUGAUGCAGCGACGCCGCGUGGGGGAUGAAGGCUUUCGGGUUGUAAACCUCUUUCGCUAUCGAACAAGGCCCGCUUAGGGUGGGUUGAGGGUAGGUGGAGAAGAAGCGCCGGCUAACUACGUGCCAGCAGCCGCGGUAAUACGUAGGGCGCGAGCGUUGUCCGGAAUUAUUGGGCGUAAAGGGCUUGUAGGCGGCUUGCUGCGCCUGCUGUGAAAACUCGGGGCUUAACUUCGCGCGUGCAGUGGGUACGGGCAGGCUUGAGUGUGGUAGGGGUGACUGGAAUUCCAGGUGUAGCGGUGGAAUGCGCAGAUAUCUGGAGGAACACCGAUGGCGAAGGCAGGUCACUGGGCCAUUACUGACGCUGAGGAGCGAAAGCAUGGGUAGCGAACAGG
rnacentral:rRNA from 1 species